CUCCACGAGAGCAUUAACCCUUCUGGGCCGGGCUGCCGGCUGAGAAUCACUGCGUUCACAGUCGGAUUCAGGAUAACUAAGAGAAUGUGGAUGGCUACAUAGUUUAUUACCAUUUUUGGAAAAGAAAGAGCAUGUGACCUGGUGAUGUUGGGUCAAUGACUCACUAUAAUAAACCACCCAAGAAUAGGUUAAGGCACUUAGCCAGAGCUUGUUCUGCUGCGAUUAACCAUCUGAGGAGAAUUGACUGUUGGUUCUAUCAUUUCCUCAACCAACCCUACUCUACUGGUUAUAAAAGAGGAGGAAAUACCUGGGAAGGCAGCAACUCCUGAACAGGCAUCAUGGCAUGAAAAAGAUUCUGGAUGGCACGGUAUUAUUAUCCAUGUUAGGAGAAAUUCUCAGUAAGCAGCGCCUGAAGAGCUAAGGAAACUUAGAGCCCGCAGAGAGCACCUGCCUGCUGACGCGUGAAUACUGAAAAUUCAGAAUCCUUCACCUGCUCAAAGGCUGCCUUGUAAGAUACGUUGCUUGGUAGCAGGCCAAGGAGGUGGGUGGUCAACUGAAUUGGAGGAAGAUCUCCCCUGUUCUUGGCAAUGGCAUGGUGACCUCUUGUUGCUGAAUGAGGAUUGCUUCCAAGUUAAACACUGGGGAAAACUGAAACCAGAUCUCUGGGAGACUGUUGGCUUGGCACAUGGAAUCCAGAAUUUAGUAAAAUGAAAGUGGAUGGCACUGGACAGCAUUUCAACUCCAACAGUAUGCUGCUGGGUGAGCGUGAGUGGGUAGAGAGAGCAUGUGGAUAAUGGCAUCAGGUUGGGGUAAACAGGGUGAUAAUGAUUAAAAGAGCUAAUAUUUGUGAAGGGCCAUAUAGAAUAUAAAGCUUUUCUACAUAGAUCUUACUUGAUUCUCACAAUACCUGGGAGAUAAUUUUAGUAUGCUAUUUUUUUAUUGUGGUAAAAUAAAAUUUACCAUUUGAACCCUUUGUAAGUAUACAAUUC